rnacentral:misc_RNA from 1 species
GAGGAAAGUCCGGGCACCACAGGGCAGGAUGCCGCACGAGCUUCACCGCAAGUGCGGGCGUCGCGUUUCAAGGCGCGGCGACGGACAGUGUCACAGAGAAUAUACCGCCCUCCGUGGUUCGGCGAAAGCCGGGCUUCGAAGGGUAAGGGUGAAAAGGUGGGGUAAGAGCCCACCGCGCCGCCAGCAAUGGCGGCGGCACGAAAAACCCCUUCCGGUGCAAGGCAAAAUAGGUGACUGGGCGGCCCGUCCGAUAGUCACGGGUAUGCCGCAUCCGGCGCCGCUCGCGCAAGUGAGCGGCGCGGGACGAGGCCGCCGCGAGGCGGCCCGAGAGAAAUGACGACUGAAGCGCCGCAAGGCGUGGAACAGAACCCGGCUU